GACGAACGCUGGCGGCGUGCUUAACACAUGCAAGUCGAACGGAAAGGCCCUGCUUUUGUGGGGUGCUCGAGUGGCGAACGGGUGAGUAACACGUGAGUAACCUGCCCUUGACUUUGGGAUAACUUCAGGAAACUGGGGCUAAUACCGGAUAGGAGCUCCUGCUGCAUGGUGGGGGUUGGAAAGUUUCGGCGGUUGGGGAUGGACUCGCGGCUUAUCAGCUUGUUGGUGGGGUAGUGGCUUACCAAGGCUUUGACGGGUAGCCGGCCUGAGAGGGUGACCGGCCACAUUGGGACUGAGAUACGGCCCAGACCCCUACGGGAGGCAGCAGUGGGGAAUAUUGCACAAUGGGCGGAAGCCUGAUGCAGCAACGCCGCGUGCGGGAUGACGGCCUUCGGGUUGUAAACCGCUUUCGCCUGUGACGAAGCGUGAGUGACGGUAAUGGGUAAAGAAGCACCGGCUAACUACGUGCCAGCAGCCGCGGUGAUACGUAGGGUGCGAGCGUUGUCCGGAUUUAUUGGGCGUAAAGGGCUCGUAGGUGGUUGAUCGCGUCGGAAGUGGAAUCUUGGGGCUUAACCCUGAGCGUGCUUUCGAUACGGGUUGACUUGAGGAAGGUAGGGGAGAAUGGAAUUCCUGGUGGAGCGGUGGAAUGCGCAGAUAUCAGGAGGAACACCAGUGGCGAAGGCGGUUCUCUGGGCCUUUCCUGACGCUGAGGAGCGAAAGCGUGGGGAGCGAACAGGCUUAGAUACCCUGGUAGUCCACGCUGUAAACGGUGGGUACUAGGUGUGGGGUCCAUUCCACGGGUUCCGUGCCGUAGCUAACGCUUUAAGUACCCCGCCUGGGGAGUACGGCCGCAAGGCUAAAACUCAAAGGAAUUGACGGGGCCCCGCACAAGCGGCGGAGCAUGCGGAUUAAUUCGAUGCAACGCGUAGAACCUUACCUGGGUUUGACAUGGAUCGGGAGCGCUCAGAGAUGGGUGUGCCUCUUUUGGGGUCGGUUCACAGGUGGUGCAUGGCUGUCGUCAGCUCGUGUCGUGAGAUGUUGGGUUAAGUCCCGCAACGAGCGCAACCCUUGUUCACUGUUGCCAGCACGUUAUGGUGGGGACUCAGUGGAGACCGCCGGGGUCAACUCGGAGGAAGGUGGGGAUGACGUCAAGUCAUCAUGCCCCUUAUGUCCAGGGCUUCACGCAUGCUACAAUGGCUGGUACAGAGAGUGGCGAGCCUGUGAGGGUGAGCGAAUCUCGGAAAGCCGGUCUCAGUUCGGAUUGGGGUCUGCAACUCGACCUCAUGAAGUCGGAGUCGCUAGUAAUCGCAGAUCAGCAACGCUGCGGUGAAUACGUUCCCGGGGCU
rnacentral:rRNA from 1 species